UGUAGUUCAUAAAAUAUAGAGGGAACUUCAGAUACCACUCUUAUGAUUUCACAUUUUUUUCACUUUAGUAAUCUGUGGUUUAAAAUGUAUCAAAUUAGUAUUCUGUGGUUUUGCACUUUUUCACUUUAGUACCCUGUAAUUUAAAGUGUAUCAGUGAGUACCCUGUUGUUUCACACUUUAUCACUUUAGUACCCCGUGGUUUAAAAACCGCAGGGUUCUAACUUGAUACAAAAAUAAAUCCACAAGAUACUGACUUGAUACAAAAAUAAAACCACAGAGUACUAACUUGAUAUACUUUAAACCACAGGGUACUAAAAUGAUAAAGUGAUAAAACAUAGGGUACUAACUUAAUACACUUUAAACCACAAGAUACUAAAAUAAAAAAGUGCAAAAAUACAUCAGGGUUUUUGAAGUUUUUCCUAAAAUAUAUAGCUUCAGUGCAAUAAAUACAGUUCCGCGGAAACC
rnacentral:lncRNA from 1 species